GUCUCCUUUUUCUAAUCAGCGAAACUGAUCUCCCCGUGAAGAAGCGGGGAUAUAAGUAUAAGACGAGAAGACCCCAUGGAGCUUCAAACCCAAUUACACCCCCUAUAUUCUCAUAACCACCUAACCCAUCAGCCGCGUGUAAUUGGUUUUCGGUUGGGGCGACCACGGAGUAUAAUUAAACCUCCAUGAUGAACGGGAUUACCCCUCAUCUAAGAGCAACAGCUCUAAGAAAUAGAAUACUAACAUAAAAUGAUCCAUUAUAUGAUCAACGAACCAAGUUACCCUGGGGAUAACAGCGCAAUCCAUUUCAAGAGCCCUUAUCGACAAAUGGGUUUACGACC
rnacentral:rRNA from 1 species